CGUCAUGGCAGAUCGCGCGGGGAGACCCUCGGGUCUGCCGGGUCCUGUAACCGGUCUGUCAACCCCGCGCGGUUUGCCACCCUU
rnacentral:antisense_RNA from 1 species